CAAGCUUUCUGGUAUUUUACAUACACGCUGCAGGAUACGGAAUCGUGACAUCAAAGGGUUAAUGUGAAUGAAAACGAUUGCUCUCGUUCUACUUGAACUGAUUACGUUUUGAAUUUUGAUACUGUGAAGCUGCAGAUUUAUCUUGAGACAACUGUUAGGGGGUUUUAAGUAACUCCGUAUCUUAAAUCAGAGCGGCGGAAAGAUAAAAGUGCUCCCAAAGGCUGCUGGAACCCAAUCAGCCAACAGGGACGCAUGGGAUCCUUUAUUGAAGCGUUGGUUCCAGUGCCCCGGUUCAGCCUGCACCAGUGGAAGCUGCCCACGGGCUGCAGCCUUCCCAGCACAGCUCCAGCCAGCAUCAUCUGCCGCAUCCACGCUCCUUGAAUUAGAGACAGCUGCGCAUUCCUCAGUUAUUAUGAAUUAUCUUCGUUCAUUAGCUGCUUCCAUGUGCCACAGUAGUGCCUGUAUAUGAGAAUGAACCGAGCGUGCGGUUGUGAAGAACUGCAUGCAAACUAUUUAAAAGUCCGUCCCCGCUCAU
ensembl:lncRNA